AUUGAACGCUGGCGGCAUGCCUUACACAUGCAAGUCGAACGGCAGCAUGGAGAGCUUGCUCUCUGAUGGCGAGUGGCGAACGGGUGAGUAAUGCAUCGGAACGUACCGUGUAAUGGGGGAUAACGUAGCGAAAGUUACGCUAAUACCGCAUACAACCUGAGGGUGAAAGCAGGGGAUCGCAAGACCUUGCGUUAUACGAGCGGCCGAUGUCAGAUUAGCUAGUUGGUGAGGUAAAGGCUCACCAAGGCGACGAUCUGUAGCGGGUCUGAGAGGAUGAUCCGCCACACUGGGACUGAGACACGGCCCAGACUCCUACGGGAGGCAGCAGUGGGGAAUUUUGGACAAUGGGGGCAACCCUGAUCCAGCCAUGCCGCGUGAGUGAAGAAGGCCUUCGGGUUGUAAAGCUCUUUCGGCCGGGAAGAAAUCGCACAGGCUAAUACUCUGUGUGGAUGACGGUACCGGCAUAAGAAGCACCGGCUAACUACGUGCCAGCAGCCGCGGUAA
rnacentral:rRNA from 1 species